rnacentral:rRNA from 1 species
GACGAACGCUGGCGGCGUGCUUAACACAUGCAAGUCGAACGAAGUGGCGAACGGGUGAGUAACGCGUAAUCAACCUGACCUUCAGAGGGGGACCACCGUUGGAAACGACUGCUAAUACCGCAAACUGAAGGAGGGGAUUGCGGCUGAUUAGCUAGUUGGGGGGGUAACGGCCCACCCAGGCGAUGAUCAGUAGCCGGUCUGAGAGGAUGAACGGCCACAGUGGGACUGAGACACGGCCCAGACUCCUACGGGAGGCAGCAGUGGGGAAUCUUCCGCAAUGGAGGAAAGUCUGACGGAGCAACGCCGCGUGAGUGAGGACGGCCGUCGGGUUGUAAAGCUCUGUUAAUCGGGACGCGGUACCGGAAUAGAAAGCCACGGCUAACUACGUGCCAGCAGCCGCGGUAAUUC